rnacentral:rRNA from 1 species
AUUGAACGCUGGCGGCAUGCUUUACACAUGCAAGUCGAACGGCAGCGCGGGCUUCGGCCUGGCGGCGAGUGGCGAACGGGUGAGUAAUACAUCGGAACGUGCCCAGUAGUGGGGGAUAGCUCGUCGAAAGCCGGAUUAAUACCGCAUACGACCUGAGGGUGAGAGCGGGGGAUCUUCGGACCUCGCGCUAUUGGAGCGGCCGAUGGCAGAUUAGCUAGUUGGUGGGGUAAAGGCCUACCAAGGCGACGAUCUGUAGCUGGUCUGAGAGGACGACCAGCCACACUGGGACUGAGACACGGCCCAGACUCCUACGGGAGGCAGCAGUGGGGAAUUUUGGACAAUGGGCGAAAGCCUGAUCCAGCAAUGCCGCGUGUGUGAUGAAGGCCUUCGGGUUGUAAAGCACUUUUGGCGGGAACGAAAAGGACUGUGCCAAUACCACGGUUCGAUGACGGUACCCGCAGAAUAAGCACCGGCUAACUACGUG